CCAGAAAAUGUACUCAUGAAAUAUUCUUACCUGGGAUUGUCCGUCUCAACUGUUCACACCCAUGCUUUUGGACAUUAUAAGCAGGUGAGUGAUCAGUAUAUACGUGUCUGAUGAACAUUCUCAAAAAACAAAUAUACGUUUCCGACGAACCAGUGGCAUUUCACAAUUCACUUUGAAGCUGUGAAACUUCUUUGUGGCCAAGGGCCAUGCAAUUACAUUUUGCCAGUUUAUGAGAACCAAUGCCGAUGGAGUGCAUGAUGAAGCAGAGAUCAUUUGUAUUGUCGUCAACAAGUCUAUUGAUAUGUUCGAAGGGAAAAACAUGGAUAUGAAGAUAUCAUUUCACUGACCUUGCCUUCCUUUACAUGGAUAUGAAGAUAUCAUUUCACUGACCUUGCCUUCCUUUACAUGGAUAUGAAGAUAUCAUUUCACUGACCUUGCCUUCCUUUACAUGGAUAUGAAGAUAUCAUUUCACUGACCUUGCCUUCCUUUACAUGGAUAUGAAGAUAUCAUUUCACUGACCUUGCCUUCCUUUACAUGGAUAUGAAGAUAUCAUUUCACUGACCUUGCCUUCCUUUACAUGGAUAUGAAGAUAUCAUUUCACUGACCUUGCCUUCCUUUACAUGGAUAUGAAGAUAUCAUUUCACUGACCUUGCCUUCCUUUACAUGGAUAUGAAGAUAUCAUUUCACUGACCUUGCCUUCCUUUACAUGGAUAUGAAGAUAUCAUUUCACUGACCUUGCCUUCCUUUACAUGGAUAUGAAGAUAUCAUUUCACUGACCUUGCCUUCCUUUACAUGGAUAUGAAGAUAUCAUUUCACUGACCUUGCCUUCCUUUACAUGGAUAUGAAGAUAUCAUUUCACUGACCUUGCCUUCCUUUACAUGGAUAUGAAGAUAUCAUUUCACUGACCUUGCCUUCCUUUACAUGGAUAUGAAGAUAUCAUUUCACUGACCUUGCCUUCCUUUACAUGGAUAUGAAGAUAUCAUUUCACUGACCUUGCCUUCCUUUACAUGGAUAUGAAGAUAUCAUUUCACUGACCAGUGUUGUGAGGCGCUCGCCUUUCACCUUUGGCGAUAAGGCGAGGCGAGGUGAGGCACUUUCGCAUAUUUGCCUCGAGGUGAGGCG
rnacentral:lncRNA from 1 species